UACGUAGGGCGCAAGCGUUGUCCGGAAUUAUUGGGCGUAAAGAGCUCGUAGGCGGUCUGUCGCGUCGGAUGUGAAAGCCCGGGGCUUAACCCCGGGUCUGCAUUCGAUACGGGCAGACUAGAGUGUGGUAGGGGAGAUCGGAAUUCCUGGUGUAGCGGUGAAAUGCGCAGAUAUCAGGAGGAACACCGGUGGCGAAGGCGGUGGUCUGGGCCGGCACUGACGCUGAGGAGCGAAAGCGUGGGGAGCGAACAGG
rnacentral:rRNA from 1 species